rnacentral:lncRNA from 1 species
AAAGAUAAAAUUAUGUUAAUUGUACAAUAAAAUAAUAUGAAUAUGUUGUAUAGUAUACCUGCCAUAUAAUCACUCAGAAAUGUUAUCAAAAUCAAAUUCUUCCACUUUCUUGGUAUGUGUUUUCUUUUCUCGCGAUCUUCCUUGGUAGUUGGUAGUGUUUUGUUUCCCGUGUUCAUCUUUUGUUUUUAUCAUGAAUAAUUUUUGGAUCUUGGUUACUUGAAUCUUUGAAAGUUGUUUGAUGCAAAACCACUGUUUUCAACAUCUCCCUAUCUUGUGACAGAUCACUGUGAAAAAUUAAGUUAGAUUAUUUUUUGUUCUCCAUGUGACAUAUCUUGUGAAUACAUGGUUGGUAUAACCUUUAUGGAUUAAUACAAUUAUUUUGAUGAAAAAGUAAUAUAUAAAAUUGUGUGAAGAUUAUACCUUGAAGUAGAAUUUGUUCAUGAAUCUUGAGUAGAAUUUGUUCAAUCAUGAAAAAUGUUAUACUAUUCUACUUUCACGUGUUCUUGUUUGAUGUUAUCACUGAAAUACUUUCAACUUUCCUGCAAAGAACAAAUAUUCAUUCAAGUUUAGAUUAUGCAGUUGAAGUAAGAAAAAUCAAGAACAAAUAAAACAGGUGAGAAGAGAAGUUUAAAAUGAGUAUGAGAAAAAAUGAGUUUACCCGCGUUGUUGUUAGAUGGAGAUGAAUAUAUUUUAAUCUUUCUGCAAAACAAACAAAAAAUCAAGUUAUUAUAGAAUUGUAGUAAAAGAUGAUGAAGGAAAGAAUUGUGAGAGAAUGAGAAAAUUAAGAGAGGUUCAUUUGUUUCUAAUUUAUGUUGGUGAGAGAAGGUAAUAUAGCAUUGAAUUCAAAAUUUGAAUUCCACAAUGAGAGAGAAAUGUGGGUCAAAAAGUAUUUUAAAUUUGACAUUGGGUUUUUAUUAAUUUUUUUGCAAAACAUAAAUUAUAUAUUAAAGAAAAUAUACUUAAUGAUGAGAGAAAUUAAUAAAAAACCAGAAAAAGUAGAAGAUAUGAGAAAGUGAUUGAAAUUUUGAAUGAGUAUAUAAUCAAAUUUCAAUUACAAAAGAGGGGGAAAUGUUUUUUUAAUUUGAAAAAAUAGUGAUAGAGAUUUGUCAGUAUUGGGAGAAGUGAAAGUGGGUAAAGGAAAAAGAGUGAUGUGUGAUGGGUAGGUCACAUGUUAAAUUUAAGAUCAAAACUGAAUUUUUUGAAUUCUAACCAAAUCAGUUUAUUGGAACCAAAUGGCUCAUGGAAAGCAACUUUUUCUCUCACAUAACAAAGUUUUGGCUUGGUUGGCUUGGAAUAUGGCUUAGUUACUUGCUCAUUUAGUUCAGUUAUAUAAAUUUUGGACACAAAAUGUCCCUGUUUUGGACACAUGUCAUACUCUUAAGCAAGGGUAUUUUUGAUUUUACCAGGUACUAUAGAUUUCUUAUAUUGUAAUUGAUAUC